rnacentral:rRNA from 1 species
UACGUAGGGUGCAAGCGUUGUCCGGAAUUAUUGGGCGUAAAGGGCUCGUAGGCGGUCCAUCACGUCGGGAGUGAAAAGCUGGGGCUUAACCCCAGUCCUGCUUCCGAUACGGGUGGACUAGAGGUAGGCAGGGGAGAACGGAAUUCCUGGUGUAGCGGUGAAAUGCGCAGAUAUCAGGAAGAACACCCGUGGCGAAGGCGGCUCUCUGGAACGCAACUGACGCUGAGACGCGAAAGCGUGGGGAGCAAACAGG